rnacentral:rRNA from 1 species
GAUGAACGCUAGCUACAGGCUUAACACAUGCAAGUCGAGGGGUAACGAGAGGAAAGCUUGCUUUCCUUGUUGACGACCGGCGCACGGGUGAGUAACGCGUAUCCAACCUGCCCCCAACUAGGGAAUAACCUUGCGAAAGUAAGACUAAUACCCUAUAAUUUCCUCAGAUGUCAUCUGACGAGGAAUAAAGAUUUAUCGGUUGUGGAUGGUGAUGCGUCUGAUUAGCUUGUUGGCGGGGUAACGGCACACCAAGGCAACGAUCAGUAGGGGUUCUGAGAGGAAGGUCCCCCACAUUGGAACUGAGACACGGUCCAAACUCCUACGGGAGGCAGCAGUGAGGAAUAUUGGUCAAUGGGCGGAAGCCUGAACCAGCCAAGUAGCGUGCAGGAUGACGGCCCUAUGGGUUGUAAACUGCUUUUAUACAGGAAUAAAGUUAGCCACGUGUGGUUAUUUGUAGGUACUGUAUGAAUAAGGACCGGCUAAUUCCGUGCCAGCCGCCGCAGUAA